GUCUGUGGCCAUGCCACCCUGAACAAGCCCGAUGUCAUAUCUUGGAAGCUAAGCAGGGUCGGGCCUGGUCAGUACUUGAAUGGGAGACCACGUAGGAAGAUCGGGUGCUUUAGGCA
rnacentral:rRNA from 1 species